rnacentral:rRNA from 1 species
AAAUUGAAGAGUUUGAUCAUGGCUCAGAUUGAACGCUGGCGGCAGGCCUAACACAUGCAAGUCGAGCGGUAGCACAGAAGAGCUUGCUCUUCGGGUGACGAGCGGCGGACGGGUGAGUAAUGUCUGGGAAACUGCCUGAUGGAGGGGGAUAACUACUGGAAACGGUAGCUAAUACCGCAUAACGUCUUCGGACCAAAGAGGGGGACCUUCGGGCCUCUUGCCAUCGGAUGUGCCCAGAUGGGAUUAGCUAGUAGGUGAGGUAAUGGCUCACCUAGGCGACGAUCCCUAGCUGGUCUGAGAGGAUGACCAGCCACACUGGAACUGAGACACGGUCCAGACUCCUACGGGAGGCAGCAGUGGGGAAUAUUGCACAAUGGGCGCAAGCCUGAUGCAGCCAUGCCGCGUGUGUGAAGAAGGCCUUCGGGUUGUAAAGCACUUUCAGCGGGGAGGAAGGCGAUAAGGUUAAUAACCUUGUCGAUUGACGUUACCCGCAGAAGAAGCACCGGCUAACUCCGUGCCAGCAGCCGCGGUAAUACGGAGGGUGCAAGCGUUAAGCGGAAUGACUGGGCGUGAAGCGCACGCAGGCGGUCUGUUAAGUUGGAUGUGAAAUCCCCGGGCUUAACCUGGGAACUGCAUUCAAAACUGACAGGCUAGAGUCUUGUAGAGGGGGGUAGAAUUCCAGGUGUAGCGGUGAAAUGCGUAGAGAUCUGGAGGAAUACCGGUGGCGAAGGCGGCCCCCUGGACAAAGACUGACGCUCAGGUGCGAAAGCGUGGGGAGCAAACAGGAUUAGAUACCCUGGUAGUCCACGCUGUAAACGAUGUCGACUUGGAGGUUGUGCCCUUGAGGCGUGGCUUCCGGAGCUAACGCGUUAAGUCGACCGCCUGGGGAGUACGGCCGCAAGGUUAAAACUCAAAUGAAUUGACGGGGGCCCGCACAAGCGGUGGAGCAUGUGGUUUAAUUCGAUGCAACGCGAAGAACCUUACCUACUCUUGACAUCCACAGAAUUUGGUAGAGAUACCUUAGUGCCUUCGGGAACUGUGAGACAGGUGCUGCAUGGCUGUCGUCAGCUCGUGUUGUGAAAUGUUGGGUUAAGUCCCGCAACGAGCGCAACCCUUAUCCUUUGUUGCCAGCGAGUAAUGUCGGGAACUCAAAGGAGACUGCCGGUGAUAAACCGGAGGAAGGUGGGGAUGACGUCAAGUCAUCAUGGCCCUUACGAGUAGGGCUACACACGUGCUACAAUGGCGUAUACAAAGAGAAGCGACCUCGCGAGAGCAAGCGGACCUCAUAAAGUACGUCGUAGUCCGGAUUGGAGUCUGCAACUCGACUCCAUGAAGUCGGAAUCGCUAGUAAUCGUAGAUCAGAAUGCUACGGUGAAUACGUUCCCGGGCCUUGUACACACCGCCCGUCACACCAUGGGAGUGGGUUGCAAAAGAAGUAGGUAGCUUAACCUUCGGGAGGGCGCUUACCACUUUGUGAUUCAUGACUGGGGUGAAGUCGUAACAAGGUAACCGUAGGGGAACCUGCGGUUGGAUCACCUCCUUACCAAAAAGA